GGCGACUGAGGAUGAGCGUUCGACCAGAUUGACUACAAUCACCGGCCGGCCACGCGACCGCUCUGGAGCGCUCUCCAAGCGCCCCGCCCACCCCCGGCGCGGGAGGUGUCUCCAGCAACCAAUCAGAGGUGGCUGAACAUUAAUCGCCGUUCUGUAUUACUGCCCAUCAUUUCACUGCUGACAAAUGGCGAGCCAGGGGGGAGGAGCCGGCCGGGUUGGGGCCCACGUGGGGGCCGGUCGUCGUCUGUAACUCAGACCAAUGAACAGAACGGGAUGGUGUUAGCGAAGGCGGGGAGAAGACAGCCCGCCCAAGGCGGAGCUUCGCCUUGGCUGACGUUCCUUAGCGCGAGCGUUCGAACCCGGGAAACAUUUGUUCAGCUGUCAAUCAAAAAUAAGAUGGAGGAUUCCUCUGGGCAGAUGGCUGUUGGGCAGUUGAAAUGUGGCCAGUCCAAGAUGAGAUUGGGUCACAGACAUAGUGGGAUGUGGAGGGCUGUCUGGACCUUGCCAUGAAGUCAACAGAAUGGACCCAUAACCCUGACUCAACAUCAGUAGCUACAGAGGUGGCAAUUCUCAUUCUGCAAAAAUCCUUGGUUAAAGAUAGCUGCUGGAAAUUUCUGCCAUUCUUAACAAAGCAUCUUUGUGCUCUAUCAGCUUGCAUUUUCCUUGGAUUGUAUUUGGAUGAUGCCUUUUCACUGACUUCAGCACUGGAGUAUUGUACCCCGGACACAGGAUUCCAGUGGCCCUUUUGCUAUCCAGACUGGGCAGAUGAAGGUUGCUGUUGAGAAAAAUAGAGGAGGAAAAUCACCCAGCUGGCAGAACUUGAGCUACCACAUUGGCCAAUUAAAGAACUCAAUAUACAGCCAGGGAAAUGAUUCAACACAUAGAUGCAAUGAGACCUACUGAAGUCAUCAUUUAUCUUAUUAUCCCUAACCAGCAGGAUUUUCAUAUUUGUGGAUGCAGGAUGCUGGAAUCACCCUCUUGCCAAGGCCACAUACACAUAAAACCUGAGGGCAACUCCGAAAGGAAACCAGAGUGCUCUGGCCAGGGAUCAAUAGCAGGGCUCAAUGCUAGCAGUAUUUGCCCUUGUGUGUGGUUUCUUCAUCUCCCAUUUCUGACUGGGAGGUUUUGAUUGGCAUUAUCCUAAUAUUCUUCCACCACUAAAUAUUAAUCUCAGAAAAGUCACAUUUUUCACCUAAUAGACAGGAACAGACAUCACUCUGUGAUACUGGAUAUUCAGCUAUUUGCAGUGAGGUGGACUGAAUACAUCUGUGUUUAUAUGUGGGAUUAUUACAUUGGUAAACUGGUGGCUCUAUUGGUUAUCUAUUUCCACAAAAAUUCUGUUAACAUGCAACCACAAAAUCCAGUGGUUUAAAAAAACAACCAUUUACUUAGCUCAUGAGUUUGUGGGUUGGUUGGGCAAUUCUUCAGUCUUGGUUAGGCUCUACUGAUUUUGGCUGAGCUUACUCAUGUGUCUGCAACUCAGCUGGUGGGUUGGCUGAGGGCUGCCUGAUCUACCUAGAAUGACCUGGCUCUACGGCCAGGAUCUUUAGAUUAGCUUGGUCCUGUUAUAACACUGGUGGUAGGCUUCUAAUAGAAGAACACAGGACCUUUUCAAGUUUAGGUUCAAAACUAGCCCACUCUCACUUCUAUCCUAUUCUAUUGGCCAUAUAUAUAUGUCAGAGGCCAACCUAGAUCCAAAGGAUGGCAAAAAACACCCAGCUUGGUGGAAGUUGCUGCAAAGGUACAUUGCAAAUGGUGUGGAUCGCAGGCAAAGUGGGGAACUGGAACCAUUUUUACAAUCAGUUAACCACAGAGUCUUUGGGGGAAAUUAUUUAAAUAGGAAGAAGAAACUGAUGAGAGAACUAGGUGGCCAAGAGAUGGCAAGCUUGUGGCAAUGAAACUAACAUUCAGAGAGAAGCCCAGAGGAAAGGAGGUGAAGAGACUCCUGGGAACAUGCUAGGUCCUGGUACAGUCAUCUCUGAACCUUGUCACACUCAUCCUUCCUAUGAAUUGGUUUUGGAAGGCAACCCUUCUGUCUUUAAAAAAAAUAAUAACCCAAGUUUAGAGCUGGUUCAUUAUAACCAAAGUCUACUACAGGUAUAAUUUUGAGAAAAAGUUCACCUGCCUCAAAACAUUCUCUCAUCUUCUCACAGCUAGAACCUAGCAGACAGAAUUGCUGUUUUCUCCAGUAACAAUUCAUUCUUUGGUGAUAGGAAGAUGCAUGAAUGGGAACGAGCCAGGCACUUGAGACCUCCAUGAAUGGCCUGGAAAACCUUCCCACCCCUGAUCUUGCAAACCAGUUUACACCUUUCAGCACUCAGCUCAAUGUCAGCCACAUUUUGAAGGUUCUUCCUCUUCUUUUUCUGCCACCUCCUAAUUAGUGGGCUUUUCCCCUUUGUGCUCCCAAAAUACUUCAGAUAUAUUUCUAGUAUAGCACCCAUGUAUCAUAUUUCACGCUCACAGCUCUAUAUGAUUUUCCCUUGUUGAAUUAUGAUCUCUUCCACA